rnacentral:rRNA from 1 species
UUUAAUAAAAUAUUAUAAUACCUGCUCAAUGAUAAAUUUAAAUAGCCGCAUUAGUGCUAAGGUAGCAUAAUAAUUAGUUUUUUAAUUGAGAAAUAGAAUGAAUGGUUUUAUAAAAUUAUUAUUUUUUAAAAUAAUUUAUUAAAAUUAAAUUUUGAAUGAAAAUUUUCAAGAAAAUUUUUUAGACGAGAAGACCCUAUGAAGUUAAGAAUUAAUAAAAUGGUUAUCUAUAAAAAACAAAUUCAUUUUUUGGGGAAAAACUUAAUUAUAUUAUUAAAAACGAUUUUUAAAAAAUUAUCCUCUAGGAACAAUAAAUUAACUCCUCUAGGGAUAACAGCAUUAUAUUUAUAAAAGAUCUUAUUGGAUUAAAUGUUUGUGACCUCGAUGUUGAAUUAAAUUUUUAUAUAUGUGCAGCAAUUUAUAUAAAAUAGUCUGUUCGACUAAAAAAUAU